UUAAUCGGCUAGCAAAGAGAAGUUAAACAUACGACAUGAACUGAAUUAACUAGUGCGCACGACUAGUUAAAAAACAAACUUCCUUUGACAAUGAAUUUCUAAUUAAAUCAUGGCUGCACCUCGGCAGCGCUAUUGUGAGAGUGAAAGUGGUCGUGCUGCUACUCCCCUCAUUCCCAACAUGUAUCAAGUACCUGCAUUGAGUAAUGCAAGAGUGAGAUGACACAUCUCAGCAAGUAAAAUAAUAUCAAACUGUUUAACCACAUAAGAACAUUGUUUUACCACCACUUGAUUCCACAACCUUCUUAUUACGAAGGUGCAUCAUGUAUACAACGUACAACACACCUAGUCACCACACCUCGCAGGUAGAAACCACAAUAGUAACAUAGUAAUGUCACACUUCAUAUAUAUAUAUCUCAUGAGUGCAAAUGUCUGCAAAUGCAAGGAUAACUUCUGCCUUCAUACCUCUAAGGAUAUGAAGCCGCAUCGUACCCCUCCUCGGGCAACGUACGAUGCUAAAAAUAUACCGGUACGGUCGGACCAUAAGAUCACGACAUAACUUCAAAAUGCAAGAUGGAUGAUGUGAUGUGCAUGUCAUGCCUACAACACUUCAUAUAACGUGAUUCAAAAAGAUACUUCAACUUCAUCCAAGAUGGGAAUCAACCACAUAUAUCAUUAACAAAUUAUGAUCAUCCACAAUAUUAGACAAUUGAGAAUUAAUACUUCCAAACAAAUAAACUUCAUCAUAGAAUUCAAUGAUUAACAUAAUUAAAACUUAUGCAUACUCAAUGACAGGGAAUAGGAUGCAAACCAAACGGUAGCAACCACCACUGUAUUUACUUGCCUUUACCGGAAGUUCGGGCAAAUCCCUAAGUACGAUCCGGAAGUCCACGACCUGUUUUUGACACACAACUUAGUGCACCAAUUUCACAUAAUCAGGCUCAAAAGCGACGCCGCACCUACGCACAAACUCAAACCCCGCCGCGGGUUACAUCUCUCCCCACACCCACCAAACUGCAGCGGGGCUGCUUAAUAAUUACAUAACUUUAAAAUUAUGACAGCAGUGGUAACAAACAAAAACUCAAGAGGCAUCUACAUAAAAUUCCUCACAAGUUUUGUACACAAUUUAUAAUUAAAUUCCAACAUCUAAUUAGCCCAAAACAGUCCACAAGAUGAACCCUGUAAUCUGUUUUUUUGUCUUUUGGACAGCGACAUACCCGGAUUCAAACAGCGAUAUCUUUUAAAAUAUAAUUCCAAAUCAAGCACAUAACUACUCAUUAGAAAGAUAAGACAAAGCCCUACAUUAUUAUCAUACUGGUUAACACUAAUUACCCACGAAAAAUGCCCAGAAACUGCUAAUACUGCUGCUGUUCACCCACCUGAAAAUCUGUUUUUUGGACAGCAACAUAACCGGAUUCAAACAACGAUAUCUCCUAAAUUAUAACUCCGAAUCGAGCGCAUAAGUACCCGUUGGAAAGGUAUGACAAAGCUCUACAUGAUUCACCCACUGAUCCCCACUAAUUACCCACGAAAAAUUCCAUGAAAUCCCUAGAACUACUGCUGUUCGCCCACCCACAAAAUUUCAAGACAGCACCUCUACCGAUUCGGAUAGGUAAACAUAUAAUCAAUUGGAUUACAACACAAUUAAACAAGAUACAAUCUCAAAAUCACCUUGAAUCCUCCCCCUUUCCUCCCUUCUUCUUCCCUCCACCAAAAUCCAAUUGGAGACAUGCACCAACGUGACGUAGAUCCGAGCGGGAAAGGAAUGGCACCUUGGAGAGAAGGGCUUGAGGAGGG
rnacentral:lncRNA from 1 species